rnacentral:rRNA from 1 species
CUACGGGUGGCUGCAGUGAGGAAUAUUGCACAAUGGGGGGAACCCUGAUGCAGCAACGCCGCGUGGAGGAUGACGCAUUUCGGUGUGUAAACUCCUUUUAUAUGUCAAGAAAAUGACGGUAGCAUAUGAAUAAGCACCGGCUAACUCCGUGCCAGGCAGCCGCGGUAAUACGGAGGGUGCAAGCGUUACUCGGAAUCACUGGGCGUAAAGGACGCGUAGGCGGGUUGGAAAGUCAGGUGUGAAAUCCUACAGCUUAACUGUAGAACUGCACUUGAAACUUCUAAUCUAGAGUAUGGGAGGGGGAGAUGGAAUUAGUGGUGUAGGGGUAACAUCCGUAGAUAUCACUAGGAAUACCUAAAGCGAAGGCGAUCUCCUGGAACAUUACUGACGCUAAGGCGUGAAAGCGUGGGGAGCAAACAGGAUUAGAUACCCCGGUAGUC